AUAUCCAGCUCGGGGCAGUGGGGUUCAGAGUGAGGAGGGAUUACUUCGCUGUGAAGAGCUGUGUGGACGGGAGUCUGCCCAGGAGCCCAGAGGGAUGAAGGAAAUCUUGGACAUCUUUUGUUGUGCCACCACUUGUUAUCUGCUGCUAGCUGGUGUCGGGGGACUGAAAGACAAGAUAACUGACAUGCAGAAAGAGAGGAGAGGGUUUGUGCAUCCUCAUGCUGGAAGACCGGGGCAGUUCCUGCAUCGUUACUGGAGCACACAGAAACCUUUGCUAGUCUUCUGUGCAUGGAUGUGGGUCAGGCCAACAAAGCAGUAAAAAAAUCAGUGGCAUAUCCUUGAGUUGGAAUGGAUGUGAUAGAAUUACAGGACUUACUGCUCAAUAAUGAAUAAAAAAAGAAAAAAAAAAAAAAACAAAAGGAGAAAGAACUCCAAGUUGGGUCCUGCCUUGUUAUAUUAAUGCUUUAUUGUGGCACUUGAUAAGAAUUUCAUUUGCUUAAGAUACAGCUGUUGAGUUUGACUGCAUUCCAUAAAAAAUAGAUUAAUAGCUCUGGUUUAAAACAGCUGAAAAAAAUGUUAAUCUUGUCUACUCCUCAUCCCCUUUUCUUGCAGUGUUUCCUCAUGUCAGCUCAGAAUAUUUUUUUGUAAUAUUCAUUUAAAGUAAUUAGACACGAUAUGGCAGUCAGCUGUCACAGGGCUGUCAGCACAGUUUCUGUGUUUUCAAACUUUCUGCUGAUUUCUGAGCUACGUUCCUAGUUUUUCUUAGCCUCGACCACAGCAGUCUGACGGUCGUUAUAAAAUGGCUGUGCUUCCAAAUGACUUUAUUUGGUGACACCUGGUGUGUUCAGUGCAGUUGUGGAAGCUCACAGAAGAACGACCCGAUAAAGGAAAAUAAUCCACUGAAGCAGGCAGGGGAUGUAGAGUUUACUUCUACAAAUGUUUCUCACUGAAUAACAGCAUAUUCUGAGUGACAGCUGGGUGGAAAAUCUAAGUAAAUCAUGCAGAGCUGUACAUUGUGUGACUCUCCACUUUGUAGUCAUACAUUUCCAGUAGCAUUUUCUUCACGUAACUGUUAGGCUGUACCCAAUAGGAACUGAUUUGAUAAUCAGAGGUUGGUGGUCGUGAGCGAUACCUCGUACCAAUUAACUGGAAUAUUUAUCAGUUCAGUCUCUAUGUGAGUUUCUAUUAUAAAUAUUGUUUUUGCUUAUCUGGC
rnacentral:lncRNA from 7 species